rfam:Geobacillus sp. B4113_201601 NODE_242, whole genome shotgun sequence.
GAACACGGAAGUUAAGCCCUCCAGCGCCGAUGGUAGUUGGGGCCAGCGCCCCUGCAAGAGUAGGUCGCUGCUAGGC